GUCUGCGUGACGGAACUUGGCAUACGUACUCGGCUCAGACCCGUGGUUUUGGGGGUUCAAAUCCCCCCGCAGAUACCA
rnacentral:tRNA from 1 species